rnacentral:rRNA from 1 species
AGAAUCAACGCUGGCGGCGUGCCUAACACAUGCAAGUCGCACGAGAAAGUGGAGCAAUCCACGAGUACAGUGGCGCACGGGUGAGUAACACGUGACUUAUCUACCUCCGAGUGGGGAAUAACUGAGAGAAAUCUUAGCUAAUACCGCAUAACACUUACGAGUCAAAGCAGCAAUGCGCUUGGAGAGGAGGUCGCGGCCGAUUAGCUAGUUGGCGGGGUAAUGGCCCACCAAGGCGAUGAUCGGUA